rnacentral:rRNA from 1 species
GACGAACCGUGCGAACGUUAUUAGGAAUCACUGGGCUUAAAGCGCGUGUAGGCGGGACGGCACGUCGGCCGCUGAAAUCCCCCGGCUCAACCGGGGAAGGGGCGCCGAUACGACCGGCCUGGAGGGACGUAGGGGGGGCUGGAACUUCCGGUGGAGCGGUGAAAUGCGUUGAGAUCGGAAGGAACACCCAGGGGGAAACCAGCCGACUGGGGAUGUGCUGACGCUGAGGUGCGAGAGCGUGGGGAGCGAACCGG